UCCUUCAGUUCAACCACAUCACCUUCUAUUGCUACCUUGUUAGAACUAGUGUACUAAUUGGGGUUGGGCCUGAUUGGUAUUUGAAUGGGAGAGCCUCAAGGAAAACAAGAAGCUGCUGCAGGAG
rnacentral:rRNA from 1 species